rnacentral:tRNA from 1 species
GCUGCUAAAGGAUUACAGUUUAUCCACUGGUCUUAGGAGCCAACAAUUCUUGGUGCAAAUCCAAGUAGCAGCU